AGAACGAACGCUGGCGGCAGGCCUCAAACAUGCAAGUCUAGGGGGCGUAGCAAUACGUCACCGGCGGACGGGUGCGUAACACGUGGGAAUGUACUUAUUGGUUCGGAACAACUCAGGGAAACUUGAGCUAAUACCGAAUGUGCCCGAAAGGGGAAAGAUUUAUCGCCAAUAAAUCAGCCCGCGUCCGAUUAGCUAGUUGGUGGGGUAAAGGCCCACCAAGGCGACGAUCGGUAGCUGUUCUGAGAGGAAGAUCAGCCACACUGGGACUGAGACACGGCCCAGACUCCUACGGGAGGCAGCAGUUGGGAAUCUUGGACAAUGGGGGAAACCCUGAUCCAGCCAUGCCGCGUGAGUGAUGAAGGCCUUCGGGUUGUAAAACUCUUUCGACGGGGACGAUAAUGACGGUACCCGUAGAAGAAGCUCCGGCUAACUUCGCGCCAGCAGCCGC
rnacentral:rRNA from 1 species